rnacentral:rRNA from 1 species
GUAGGGAAUCUUGCGCAAUGGGCGAAAGCCUGACGCAGCCAUGCCGCGUGAAUGAUGAAGGUCUUAGGAUUGUAAAAUUCUUUCACCGGGGACGAUAAUGACGGUACCCGGAGAAGAAGCCCCGGCUAACUUCGUGCCAGCAGCCGCGGUAAUACGAAGGGGGCUAGCGUUGCCCGGAAUUACUGGGCGUAAAGGGAGCGUAGGCGGAUAGUUUAGUCAGAGGUGAAAGCCCAGGGCUCAACCUUGGAAUUGCCUUUGAUACUGGCUGUCUUGAGUACGGGAGAGGUGAGUGGAACUCCGAGUGUAGAGGUGAAAUUCGUAGAUAUUCGGAAGAACACCAGUGGCGAAGGCGACUCACUGGCCCGUUACUGACGCUGAGGCGCGAAAGCGUGGGGAGCAAACAGGAUUAGAAACCCGGGUAGUCC